ensembl:lncRNA
AGCACACAAAAGGUUUGCGAUGAGAGGACUGUAAUAAGACAAACCUCAUCAUUUUCACUGCUGUUUUCCAGGGGCCCCGUGGUCUUCCAGGCGAAAGAGGACGUCCCGGCCCAUCCGGUGCUGCUGGUGCUCGUGGCAACGAUGGUCUCCCUGGCCCCGCUGGCCCCCCUGGACCUGUCGGCCCCUCUGGAGCUCCUGGAUUCCCUGGCGGCCCAGGCUCUAAGGUAGGUGAUGAGUCUCCGGCAAACGCUUCUCACGCAGCUGAGCGCGGAGCUGGCCAGAAAUGCCCUUCCCCGGCCUUUUUGCAAACAUCAGUGAAAAUCCACUGCGCGCUUCAGUUCCCUUGCUCACCUCCAGCCUGACAUGUAUUUUCAGGGUCACCUGCUGGAGCAGUGAGCAAAGAUGGGAUGAGAAGGAGUGAGUGUGAAAGAAAGAGAAAGAAAGAAAGAAAAUGGGAGGAGAGUGAAUCACAGAAAGAAUGAAUGAGAAAGAGAGAGAAAAGAUGG